rnacentral:rRNA from 1 species
GAGACACGGCCCAGACUCCUACGGGAGGCAGCAGUGGGGAAUAUUGGACAAUGGGCGAAAGCCUGAUCCAGCCAUGCCGCGUGAGUGAUGAAGGCCUUCGGGUUGUAAAGCUCUUUUGCCGGGGAAGAUAAUGACGGUACCUGUAGAAUAAGCCCCGGCUAACUCCGUGCCAGCAGCCGCGGUAAUACGAAGGGGGCUAGCGUUGUUCGGAAUUACUGGGCGUAAAGCGCACGUAGGCGGAUUGGUAAGUCAGGGGUGAAAUCCCGGGGCUCAACCCCGGAACUGCCUUUGAUACUGGCAGUCUUGAGUCCGGGAGAGGUGAGUGGAAUUCCGAGUGUAGAGGUGAAAUUCGUAGAUAUUCGGAAGAACACCAGUGGCGAAGGCGGCUCACUGG